UACGUAGGGACCAAGCGUUGUUCGGAUUUACUGGGCGUAAAGGGCGCGUAGGCGGCUUAACAAGUCACUUGUGAAAUCUCCGGGCUUAACUCGGAACGGCCAAGUGAAACUGUCAAGCUAGAGUGCAGAAGGGGCAAUCGGAAUUCCUGGUGUAGCGGUGAAAUGCGCAGAUAUCAGGAGGAACACCGGUGGCGAAGGCGGUUCUCUGGGCCUUACCUGACGCUGAGGAGCGAAAGCGUGGGGAGCAAACAGG
rnacentral:rRNA from 1 species